rnacentral:rRNA from 1 species
AACACGAGGAACCCGGUGCUGGAAGGUUAAGGGGAGCGGUUAGGGGCAACCCGAAGCUGUGAACCGAAGCCCCAGUAAACGGCGGCCGUAACUAUAACGGUCCUAAGGUAGCGAAAUUCCUUGUCAGGUAAAUUCUGACCCGCACGAAUGGCGUAACGACUUGGGCGCUGUCUCAACGAGAGAUCCGGUGAAAUUUUAAUACCUGUGAAGAUGCAGGUUACCCGCGACAAGACGGAAAGACCCCAUGGAGCUUUACUGCAGCUUGAUAUUGGACUUUGGUACGAUCUGUACAGGAUAGGUGGGAGCCUUGGAAGCCGGAGCGCCAGCUUCGGUGGAGGCACCGUUGGGAUACCACCCUGAUCGUAUCGGAGUUCUAACCUGGUACCGUGAAACCGGUACAGGGACCGUGUCAGGCGGGCAGUUUAACUGGGGCGGUUU